rnacentral:rRNA from 1 species
AUUGAACGCUGGCGGCAGGCCUAACACAUGCAAGUCGAACGGUAACAGGAAGAAGCUUGCUUCUUUGCUGACGAGUGGCGGACGGGUGAGUAAUGUCUGGGAAACUGCCUGAUGGAGGGGGAUAACUACUGGAAACGGUAGCUAAUACCGCAUAAUGUCGCAAGACCAAAGAGGGGGACCUUCGGGCCUCUUGCCAUUGGCUGUGCCCAGAUGGGAGUAGCUAGUAGGUGGGGUAACGGCUCACCUAGGCGACGAUCCCUAGCUGGUCUGAGAGGAUGACCAGCCACACUGGAACUGAGACACGGUCCAGACUCCUACGGGAGGCAGCAGUGGGGAAUAUUGCACAAUGGGCGCAAGCCUGAUGCAGCUAUGCCGCGUGUAUGAAGAAGGCCUUCGGGUUGUAAAGUACUUUCAGCGGGGAGGAAGGAAGUAAAGUUAAUACCUUUGCUCAUUGACGUUACCCGCAGAAGAAGCACCGGCUAACUCCGUG